CCUUCGGGAGGCAGCANUNGAAUAUUGCNCAAGGCGGAAACCUNACNCAGCGGCGCCCGUGAGGGAUGAAGGCCUUCGGGUUGUAAACCUUUUUGNUUUGAAGAAGCUGCCGGGUUUUCUCGGUGGUGACGGUAGGGGUGGAAAUAACCCCGGCCAANUUCGUUCCCGCCGCCGCGGUAAGUCGUAAGGCUCGAGCGUUGUCNGGAUUUUUUGGGNGUAAAGAACUUNUAGGCGGCCUGGUGCGUUAUCCGUGAAAUCCUGGCUUAACUGUGGGUUUGNCGUUGAUACGGGCCGGGNGGAGUUCGGUAGGGGGGGAGGGAAUUCCNGGGGUAGCGGGGAAAAGGGCAGAUAUCAGGAGGGACNCCNGUGGGGAAGGNGGGUUUUUGGGCCGAUACNGACGGAGGAGNGAAAAGGUGGGGGGGGAACCAGGAUAGAAANCCCNGGUNUNCNCCCCUUAAACGUGGGGCGUUAGGGGGGGGGCCCUUCCCNGGUUUCUGUGCCGUAGCUAACGCAUAAGCNC
rnacentral:rRNA from 1 species